UUGUUUAUAAUUUGGUAACAGAUAGAUAUUUGAAUAUUCGGUAUAUUUUGCUUCUGUUUAGGAAAUCUUUGAUGAUCCGUCUUUAGAUACAAUAAGCCCUAUAAUUAAGAAAUGAAUAUUGUAGUUAAAUGAUUUUGGUAACCUUAAUGACGUCAUUAAAGGAUUUUGUUUUUGAUUAAAUUUUUCUAAUGGCAUUGUCAUGUAAUUAAUUACAAAAAUUAAGGUUACAUUUAAAAUGUACUUCCCAAAUAAUAUAGUAGGAUUA
rnacentral:sRNA from 1 species